GGCAAGUUCAGUCGCAGGGCGCUAACACUGACAAAUGUGCGGGCAGCCAACUUCAAGUAGCUAAUGUGGCAAGUCAAGAGCCUUCGUGCAGCACGUGGCGGCAGUCGGCACCCAUGUACCUGCCAUCGACGUCGUACACAGGUUAUUACGAUGCUUCUACCCCGACAAACGUCUCAUGGCAAGCUUCAC